rnacentral:rRNA from 1 species
UGCGAGUCAACGCCGCAAGGCGUGGCAUACGGCUCAGUAACACGUAGUCAACAUGCCCAAAGGACGUGGAUAACCUCGGGAAACUGAGGAUAAACCGCGAUAGGCCAAGGUUUCUGGAAUGAGCCAUGGCCGAAAUCUAUAUGGCCUUUGGAUUGGACUGCGGCCGAUCAGGCUGUUGGUGAGGUAAUGGCCCACCAAACCUGUAACCGGUACGGGCUUUGAGAGAAGGAGCCCGGAGAUGGGCACUGAGACAAGGGCCCAGGCCCUAUGGGGCGCAGCAGGCGCGAAACCUCUGCAAUAGGCGAAAGCCUGACAGGGUUACUCUGAGUGAUGCCCGCUAAGGGUAUCUUUUGGCACCUCUAAAAAUGGUGCAGAAUAAGGGGUGGGCAAGUCUGGUGUCAGCCGCCGCGGUAAUACCAGCACCCCGAGUUGUCGGGACGAUUAUUGGGCCUAAAGCAUCCGUAGCCUGUUCUGCAAGUCCUCCGUUAAAUCCACCUGCUCAACGGAUGGGCUGCGGAGGAAACCGCAGAGCUAGGAGGCGGGAGAGGCAAACGGUACUCAGUGGGUAGGGGUAAAAUCCAUUGAUCUACUGAAGACCACCAGUGGCGAAGGCGGUUUGCCAGAACGCGCUCGACGGUGAGGGAUGAAAGCUGGGGGAGCAAACCGGAUUAGAUACCCGGGUAGUCCCAGCUGUAAACGAUGCAGACUCGGUGAUGGGUUGGCUUCGAGCCAACCCAGUGCCGCAGGGAAGCCGUUAAGUCUGCCGCCUGGGGAGUACGGUCGCAAAACUGAAACUUAAAGGAAUUGGCGGGGGA